UGGGGAAUAUUGGACAAUGGGCGAAAGCCUGAUCCAGCCAUGCCGCGUGUGUGAAGAAGGCCUUAUGGUUGUAAAGCACUUUAAGCGAGGAGGAGGGUACUGGUAUUAAUACUACCAGCUACUGGACGUUACUCGCAGAAUAAGCACCGGCUAACUCUGUACCAGCAGCCGCGGUAAUACAGAGGGUGCGAGCGUUAAUCGGAUUUACUGGGCGUAAAGCGUGCGUAGGCGGCUAAUUGAGUCGGAUGUGAAAUCCCCGAGCUUAACUUGGGAAUUGCAUUCGAUACUGGUUAGCUAGAGUGUGGGAGAGGAUGGUAGAAUUCCAGGUGUAGCGGUGAAAUGCGUAGAGAUCUGGAGGAAUACCGAUGGCGAAGGCAGCCAUCUGGCCUAACACUGACGCUGAGGUACGAAAGCAUGGGGAGCAAACAGG
rnacentral:rRNA from 1 species